rnacentral:misc_RNA from 1 species
GAUGAAGAACGCAGCGAAAUGCGAUAAGUAAUGCGAAUUGCAGAAUUCAGUGAGUCAUCGAAUCUUUGAACGCACAUUGCGCCCGCCGGCAUUCCGGCGGGCACGCCUGUCCGAGCGUCAUAGCACCAACUCGAGCCCCACGGCUCGGCCCUUGGGCAGCCGGUCCGCGCCAGCGGACCCGCCCGAAACGCGCGACCCGAGCUGGCAGCAGCGGGAUGUCCCCUGGAGACCCUCGCGAGAGGGUCCCGGCCCCCCCCCGGCGAAGCGGAGCGUCGUAGACGACCGCCCGCGGCAGCUGGGGGGGCGCGGUGGGGAGGACCCCGCCCGGGAAGGCCGAGGGGGCCGCGCCGAGCGGCCCCCGCACAUCACCGACGUAGGACCUCGGAUCAGGCGGGGGUACCCGCUGAACUUAAGCAUAUCAAUAAGCGGAGGA